GACGAACGCUGGCGGCGUGCUUAACACAUGCAAGUCGAGCGGUAAGGCCCUUUCGGGGGUACACGAGCGGCGAACGGGUGAGUAACACGUGGGUGACCUGCCCUCAGCUCUGGGAUAAGCCUGGGAAACCGGGUCUAAUACCGGAUAUGACUCCAUGACGCAUGUUGUGGGGUGGAAAGCCUUGUGCGGCUGAGGAUGGGCCCGCGGCCUAUCAGCUUGUGGUGGGGUGAUGGCCUACCAAGGCGACGACGGGUAGCCGGCCUGAGAGGGCGACCGGCCACACUGGGACUGAGACACGGCCCAGACUCCUACGGGAGGCAGCAGUGGGGAAUCUUGCGCAAUGGGCG
rnacentral:rRNA from 1 species